AUACGAAGGUGGCGAAUGAUACUCGGAUUUACUGGGCGUAAAGCGUCCGCAGGUGGUUUAUCAAGUUAGGUGUGAAAGCCCCGUGCUCAACAUGGGAACUGCACUUAAAACUGGUAGACUAGAAGAUAGGAGAGGUAGGUAGAAUUCUCGGUGUAGAGGUGAAAUUCGUAGAUAUCGAGAGGAAUACUCAUGGCGAAGGCAGCCUACUGGCCUAUACUUGACACUCAUGGACGAAAGCGUGGGGAGCAAACAGGAUUAGAUACCCUGGUAGUCCACGCCCUAAACGAUGUGUGCUCGCUGUCGGGAUCGCUACAGAUCUCGGUGGCUCAGCUAACGCGGUAAGCACACCGCCUGGGGAUUACGGCCGCAAGGUUAAA
rnacentral:rRNA from 1 species